rnacentral:rRNA from 1 species
GACGAACGCUGGCGGCGUGCUUAACACAUGCAAGUCGAGCGGUAAGGCCCUUUCGGGGGUACACGAGCGGCGAACGGGUGAGUAACACGUGGGUGACCUGCCCUCAGCUCUGGGAUAAGCCCGGGAAACUGGGUCUAAUACUGGAUAUGACUCCACGGUGCAUGCCGUGGGGUGGAAAGCCUUGUGCGGCUGAGGAUGGGCCCGCGGCCUAUCAGCUUGUUGGUGGGGUGAUGGCCUACCAAGGCGACGACGGGUAGCCGGCCUGAGAGGGCGACCGGCCACACUGGGACUGAGACACGGCCCAGACUCCUACGGGAGGCAGCAGUGGGGAAUCUUGCGCAAUGGGCGAAAGCCUGACGCAGCGACGCCGCGUGAGGGAUGACGGCC